rnacentral:rRNA from 1 species
UACGAAGGGGGCUAGCGUUGCUCGGAAUCACUGGGCGUAAAGGGUGCGUAGGCGGACAUUUAAGUCAGAGGUGAAAGCCCAGGGCUCAACCUUGGAAUUGCCUUUGAUACUGGAUGUCUUGAGUUCGGGAGAGGUGAGUGGAAUGCCGAGUGUAGAGGUGAAAUUCGUAGAUAUUCGGCGGAACACCAGUGGCGAAGGCGACUCACUGGCCCGAUACUGACGCUGAGGCGCGAAAGCGUGGGGAGCAAACAGG